AGAUUUCAUAGCCCAGCCCCCGUUUUCCUGUCCACUCUACUUCCUGACUGUGGAAACAAUGUAACCAGCUACCUCUGGCUCCACUAUGAUGGGUAGUGCUUGGGUGAGAACUGAAAAACUCCAGAAGGAGAGUACUGUAUGUACUGUGUGAGGUCAGAUGAGAUCAUCGAGCUCAGAACACAUACUAACUGUGUUCCUGCCUUGAGUUCCUGCCCUGACUUCCCUCGGUGAUGGACUGUUACCUGGAAUGUUGCCUCCUCUGUGGAGGAAGAACAGUUGUGUGAUGCUGGUUGAGGACCUACAGAGAAGCCCACCAGGCAAGCAAGCUCCAAUGCUCCACCCACCCACCGGAGGUCCUCCAGAGGUCACAAGCAAAUUCAAAGAUCACAGGACUUCAGGGAAGAAAAUGUCACCGAAGACAAGACAAGCUUUAGUCGGGCAUGAGGUGUGGCAAGGCGUGCCAGUGGCUUCUCUGUGUUAUUGAUGCCAGUCAUGCCACAGAAAUCGAGAUAUUUUACAUGCCACCUGAGGGUACAGAGCAAACCUCCAGCAGCUGGCAACAGCUGUUGCAGAGACCUUUGGGGAGUAACUUGCUGGACUUUGGGAGGCAAGGGCAGAAUGGUGGCUGGGAGACAAUGGCUAGGACUUUAAAGAACGCUACUCUAGGCUGCCUUGAAAAAUCAGUCAAGAAGCCAAGAAGAGAGAUAUGCCAAGACGUGGGAUGUGGCGCUGCACUGUCAAAGGGAGUUAACAGCCCCUCUUUCUUAGACAAAGAAAAUGCUGGGCACGUGUUCCUCGCCCAGACCUCCCCAGACCCAUUUCAGUCCCAGGUCCCCUGAGCAGGUGGUAAAUCAAUCCUCCCGAUCCAGGUAGGAAAGGUGGGAGGAAAGAAAACAAAACAAAGUCCCCAUCACACAUCCCCAAGGACUUCACACAGGCCUCACCCCAGAUGACUCUGCUCUCCUGCACCGUUUGGGAGGUGUCACCACCACCGCCCUUGGUGGUGGUGGUGGGGUGGUGGGAUGCUGUCUGUCACUUAGAAAUUCCCUUUGCACACCCAGAGGUGCCUGCCCCUGUCUCUCAAACCCCUGCAAAGGACGGCAGACAAGAGGGACGAAGACAUCUACUCCAAGAUGCAUACUAGUCUAUAUGCCACCUGCCUUUACCUCUGUCUAUUUGAGAAACCUAAAAAGGAGUGUUUUCCCCAGUCCAUUGCUACUGGCUACUCGUCUCCGCGAUGACCCCUCCAGGCAGCGCCUGUCUUGUCUGUCUGUCCUUUUCACCUGACAAAGCGCGGCGGCCCGCGAGCCCAGGACAUUUCUCCCAAAAGAGAGAGACGCGCGGAGCACCCACUCCUGGCCCCUGCAAAUCCGCCCCACCCGUAAUGGAACAAAGCAACAGAGGCAAGGCGAGACGCAUCGCCCAGCACGGGCGACUCCACCAGCGUGCGGGGACCCACGCCCCGGUCCCCCUGCAAGGCGCCGCCCGAGCCUGCGGCCACCCGUGGACCAGUAGCGCCGCGUGUCCUACGCCUCCUCGCGCUCCCCGCGUCCCCAAGCAGCUACUGUACCUGCUAAAUUUAGCGACCGCCGGGUAUUAAUAGCUCUAGCGACCCGGGGCUGGUGGCUCGCAGGGGCGCGCGGCCCUAAGGGGACCUGGGGACCCGCAGGGAAGGGAAGAAGGGACGCAAGAAAAGAGGCCACUUACACCACCAGCCUGGAGAUGA